ensembl:lncRNA
CACCUGGUGAAUUAGCAGUUAACCCAAGAAGGCCUGAAUCCCGUCUUAGAGUCGGUGAAAAUUUGUGAGUUUUUUUUUUUAAUUUUUUUUUCAACGUUUAUUUAUUUUUGGGACAGAGAGAGACAGAGCAUGAACGGGGGAGGGGCAGAGAGAGAGGGAGACACAGAAUCAGCAACAGGCUCCAGGCUCUGAGCCAUCAGCCCAGAGCCCGACGCGGGGCUCGAACUCACGGACCGCGAGAUCGUGACCUGGCUGAAGUCGGACGCUUAACCGACUGCGCCACCCAGGCGCCCCGAAAAUUUGUGAGUUUCUAAUCACAUAGCAGAACUCCUAGUUCCUCACUCCUCACCAACAAGGCCUGGAACCACCUGCAUAUAACCCCACCCACUAUAGCCCCAUGAUGGUUAACAUUUGCUGAGCCCCGCCCUCACCCAGCCCAGCUCUGGGAGCAGGACGUGAAUGCAGUGUUCAGUCUUCCUUUUUUAUUUCCGGCCACGUCGAUGAUCGCAUUUCCCUGGAGGCAGCAGGGCCGAGCCACGCUCAUGGCCACAUACAUAGCAAUGGUGGCGGGGAGGGAAGGCCACUGGAACCCGUCCCUCUGGCUGUGGAUGCCUUGCCCUUGCUCCCACCAGCACAGGCUCGAGGAAAGAGGGAUGGCUUCAGCUAAUGGAGCCACCGAGGACUGAGAUCGGGACAGCACACCCAGGUGAAGAGACUGGGACAAAGCUGCAAGCCACCGACCCCCCAUUUCUCAGCAGAGUCCUUCCUCACACUGUGACAUCGUCGUCUCAUUAUGGGGUGGUUACUUUGCUGUCUUGAGAAAGUUCUUUUCUUCUCUUGUCUGCUCCUCCCGCAAGGACCUCACAGAUGGAUGUGUCCAGGAUUAGGCCCAAGCCCGCGAAAACAGCCCGUCCUCCGCCACCUAGGGAAAGAAGCCAACAAAAACUCGAAGGAGCAUGAACCCCUGCCCCAGCUGCCACCUGGUCUGCACCAAAUGCUCCAGCAUCCAACCGACCCGGCUCCAGAAUGGUGCCCUUGGUAUCCUAACUGUUCUCACGCCAAGACUGAGGUCCCAGGAGUAGGUAACUUUCCCAAUGUCACAGGCUGCUGGAGGUGGGACCUUGAUGUUGACACUAACACGUUUCACUCAUCUCUUAGCCCUGAAAUAUCCACACACACGCUCACACGCUCAAUUUUCUCGCGCUGCCCCGGUGGUCUGGCACUGGCCAAGGGCCUGAAACUGAAACGCAAUGUUCUCUUUGUGUUAUUAGCCAUUAUCACCCCUAACGAGCCCAAGAAAUGUUUUCCCGAGAAAGCCCGGGGUGGAAUUCUCGGACAGCUCGAGUGCCCAGGGCCCGGCCUGGUAUUUCACAGGCCACUUGUGCAUGUCUAAUUGUGUUUUCUGUGUCAAAAGGGCAGGCUGUGCUCGUCACAGGCUCGUUAGGACCCCGGCCAAGGGGUUGUUUGUGAUUUCAGGGCUGGUGAGGUAAGUGCGGGGUGACGAUUUUGUCUCCAAAUGGGCCACUUGCCGAGCAGCAAAUCAGUGUCCGAGUCAGCACCCACCUCCUUCCCGCUUUCUGUGUUUGUUUUCUGCAAGCUUCUGUUUAUUUUGCUCCUGCGGACAGAAGCAAAAGAGAAUAUAUGGCUCGCAAUGGGUGGGGGGAGCAGAUUUUUCUGGUCCUCGUCGAAGCAGAGUGAGCCGCAUUAGUCUCCUUCUUCUGGGGGCGGGGACUGAGCUGAGCCAAAGCAAAGAGUCCCUUCACUUCACGGGACCUGCUGACGCACCUGCCAUGGGACACACAUGCAUUCUUUCACAACGCUCAUAAUUAGGCCACCAAAUUCCCACCCAGGGCUCCCUAUAGUUUUAGAAGAAAUCCCAGCAUUUUGCUUGCAAUUAGGGCAUCUGGCCACCAGGAGGACCAAGGCGCUGUGGACAAGACCAAAAUGGCAAGGCUCCUCCCUGAAGCGUAAUUAAACGCCAGCAAGAUUCACCUUCUUUUCCACUCUUUUUUUUUUAUAUAUAUUGAACACGCUGCAUAAAGCAGCACCAAACCAGCGUGGCAUUUGGAAAUACCUGGUUAAUUUUAAUUUUUUAUUUUUUUUAACUUUACUUAUUUAUUUUUUUUUUAAUUUUUUUUUCAAUGUUUAUUUAUUUUUUUGGGGACAGAGAGAGACAGAGCAUGAACGGGGGAGGGGCAGAGAGAGAGGGAGACACAGAAUCGGAAACAGGCUCCAGGCCAUCAGCCCAAAGCCUGACGCGGGGCUCGAACUCACGGACCGCGAGAUCGUGACCUGGCUGAAGUCGGACGCUUAACCGACUGCGCCACCCAGGCGCCCCAUUAACUUUAUUUAUUUAUUUUUGAGAGAGAGACGGUGCACGUGAGUGGGGGAGGGGCAGAGAGAGAGGGAAAGAGAGAGAAUCCCCAGCAGGUUCCGCACCGGCCGCCCUGAGCUCGACGCAGGGCUCGAAGUCACAGACCGUGAGAUCUUGACCUGAGCUGAAACCAAGAGUCGGAGGCUCGGCCGACUGAGCCACCCAGGCGUCCCUGGAAGAGAGAAGACUGCUUAGCCUCACCCCGGUUCUCCAGACUUCAGCCCACCAGUCUCCAGUAACCAGAACCCCUGGAAGCUUGUGCCUCCCUGGCUGCUGGGAACCCAUCGUGAUGAGCCUCAGGACCCACCCGACCCUCCAGAUGCUCCCUCUGCAUCUUCAAGGAAACAUAAAAUUACCUCCAGUUUGGUUUCAGUGCUUGCUGCAUUUUCUUGUAUUUUGUUGUUCAAAUUUUGGCAUCCUAUGACGUGGCAUAUAAGCAGACUCUCCACUCCCCCAGAUGCAUCGUCAUGACGGUGCCCCAUCCGUCUCCUGAUUCUUAUGAAUGAAGGAGGGCAGCAGGUGGGGGAGAGGCGGAACCUAAGGAGUUAAGAGAAGUGCACCCAAAGGGAAAAUGAGCCACAGCCAAGCGUGGGACCCGUCCGUGUCUUCCUUUCAUCGCUCGAUGGACCGCAACGUUUGCAUCCCCGACACAGACACGGAGCCUGGACCGCCUCAUUGACCACCUCAAAGGGAAGAAGCACUAUUUGAUGUGGUAAAGAGUUGGUAACCACUUGGCUUCGGAGGCUCAGGCGGUAACUUGGCCACUAGCUCACAGCCCGGCAGCACGCUUUUGCGGGGACAGAGGGGAGCUGUCCUCAGCCUGGGAGCAGCCCCUGAUUCAGCCGGUGAGAAGUGACUCACUCUCACACAGACUGCAGACUCCAUUCCUCCCAGAAGCAAUAAACAGCCUGGCCUCUCCCA